GUGGUGAAAUUGGGAAACACGAUAGGUUUAGGACCUAUUGCCGAAAGGUUUGUGGGUUCAAAUCCCACCCUCGGCA
rnacentral:tRNA from 1 species